rnacentral:misc_RNA from 1 species
UUUCCGUAGGUGAACCUGCGGAAGGAUCAUUCAUAAUAAAGUGUUUUAUGGCACUUUUUAAAAAUCCAUAUCCACCUUGUGUGCAAUGUUAGAUCUCGUCAAUCUUGGCGAGAUUUUUAUACAUCAACUCAUUCUUUAACUAAUUUGUCUGAAAAAUAUUAUGAAUACUUAAUUCAAAAUACAACUCUCAACAACGGAUCUCUUGGCUCUC